UACGUAGGGUGCAAGCGUUUAAUCGGAAUUACUGGGCGUAAAGGGCGUGUAGGCGGGAAGGUAAGUCAGAUGUGAAAUUCCGGGGCUCAACCCCGGCGCUGCAUCUGAAACUAUCUUUCUUGAGUGCUGGAGAGGAAAGCGGAAUUCCUGGUGUAGCGGUGAAAUGCGCAGAUAUCAGGAGGAACACCGGUGGCGAAGGCGGGUCUCUGGGCCGAUACUGACGCUGAGGAGCGAAAGCGUGGGGAGCGAACAGG
rnacentral:rRNA from 1 species